UAGGGAAUCUUCGGCAAUGGACGAAAGUCUGACCGAGCAACGCCGCGUGAGUGAAGAAGGUUUUCGGAUCGUAAAACUCUGUUGUUAGAGAAGAACAAGGACGUUAGUAACUGAACGUCCCCUGACGGUAUCUAACCAGAAAGCCACGGCUAACUACGUGCCAGCAGCCGCGGUAAUACGUAGGUGGCAAGCGUUGUCCGGAUUUAUUGGGCGUAAAGCGAGCGCAGGCGGUUUCUUAAGUCUGAUGUGAAAGCCCCCGGCUCAACCGGGGAGGGUCAUUAGAAACUGGGAGACUUGAGUGCGGAGGAGGAGAGAGGAAUUCCAUGUGUAGCGGUGAAAUGCGUAGAUAGAAGGAGGAACACCAGUGGCGAAGGCGGCUCUCUGGUCUGUAACUGACGCUGAGGCUCGAAAGCGUGGGGAGCAAACAGG
rnacentral:rRNA from 1 species